CGCGGCCUAUCAGCUUGUUGGGGGGGUAAUGGCCCACCAAGGCGACGACGGGUAGCUGGUCUGAGAGGAUGGCCAGCCACAUUGGGACUGAGAGACGGCCCAGACUCCUACGGGAGGCAGCAGUGGGGAAUCUUGCGCAAUGGCCGAAAGGCUGACGCAGCGACGCCGCGUGGGGGAGGAAGGCCUUCGGGUUGUAAACCCCUGUUGCCCGGGACGAAUGUGCACUUUAGAGUGCAUUGACGGUACCGGGUGAGGAAGCACCGGCUAACUCCGUGCCAGCAGCCGCGGUAAUACGGAGGGUGCAAGCGUUGUCCGGAAUCACUGGGCGUAAAGGGCGCGUAGGCGGCUCAUAAAGGCUGUGGUGAAAGUUCGGGGCUCAACCUCGAAUCGGCCGUGGCGACUUGUGGGCUGGAGCACUGUAGAGGCAGGUGGAAUUCCGGGUGUAGCGGUGGGAUGCGUAGAGAUCCGGAAGAACACCAGUGGCGAAGGCGGCCUGCUGGGCAGUGGCUGACGCUGAGGCGCGACAGCGUGGGGAGCAAACAGGAUUAGAUACCCUGGUAGUCCACGCCGUAAACGAUGGGCACUAGGUGCUUGGGGGAGCGACCCUCUGAGUGCCGGCGCUAACGCAUUAAGUGCCCCGCCUGGGAGUACGGA
rnacentral:rRNA from 1 species